rnacentral:rRNA from 1 species
AUGGUCAGUAUGGAAGCAGUAGAAAUGUGGGAAACUACAGCAAAGAAGCAUCCUAAGAGGCCAAAGGUUCUGUUUCUCAGACGGAUUGAUCCAAGCGAAGCCCAGUCUUCUGUGAAAUAUGUGGCGGCAGAUGGACCAAUACGUAAGAAGGGACCCUCCAUUGAGUUCAGUCAAGUUCAGUUAACGCGGAAUAUGUUGCAGAAUGAAUGCAUAAUACGUCCAGUCCAAUCAAAUUCAAUGAAGAAACCCAAUUCAGCCUUAAAGAAAACAAUAGUUUCAGAACCCACUCAGGCCGCAUCCGAGCUGUCCAGUGUUGGGAACAGUGUGAUGCUUCCAUCUGCAAGCAUCUGCGAAACUAGCUGCAUGUGCUACAAUAGUACCUCCCUUCCUACAUGUAAGACCUUUUUUUUUUGCAGUUCAAAUUGA